CCAAUAGCGUAUAUUAAAGUUGUUGCAGUUAAAAAGCUCGUAGUUGAAUUUCGGGAUCAAUAUAUUGGUCGUGCCUUGGUACGUACUAAUUUAUUGGUUUCUUCCUUCUGACGAACCAUGAUGUCAUUAACUUGGUGUUAUGGGGAAUCAGGACUGUUACUUUGAAAAAAUUAGAGUGUUUAAAGCAGGCUCACGCUUGAAUACAUUAGCAUGGAAUAAUGAAAUAGGACGUUUGAUUCUAUUUUGUUGGUUUCUAGGAUCGACGUAAUGAUUAAUAGGGAUAGUUGGGGGCAUUAGUAUUCAAUUGUCAGAGGUGAAAUUCUUGGAUUUAUUGAAGACUAACUACUGCGAAAGCAUUUGCCAAGGAUGUUUUCAUUAAUCAAGAACGAAAGUUAGGGGAUCGAAGACGAUCAGAUACCGUCGUAGUCUUAACCAUAAACUAUGCCGACUAGGGAUCGGAUGAUGUUAAUUUUUUAAUGACUCAUUCGGCGCCUUACG
rnacentral:rRNA from 1 species